AGAGGAUCCGCACAUCGGGAAUCAUCCUGCUGGAGACCAUCCUCUUCGGCUCCCUCCUCCUCUACUUCCCUGUGUUCAUCCUGUACUUCAAGCCGAGCAUCUUCCGCUGCAUCGUCCUGCGCUGGGUGCGGAUGCUCGGCUUCGCCAUCGUCUACGGCACCAUCACCCUCAAGCUCUACAGGGUGCUGAAGGUGUUCCUGU